GCAGCUGCAUUGAGCCGGUGUUCUCCACACAUCCUCUUUGCUCCACCAUUUCUGUUUCUCUAUCUCCGUUUGCACUCUUCCCCUCACCGGCCUCUCCGAGUCCGAGUGUGUGUUUCUUUCAGUUAUUCUCUCACGUCUCACUUCGUCCCCCUCCGGUCAUUCAGUCUCCAUCAGACGGCCAUUGUGUGGGAGAACGCAGCAGAGAGACGGGGAUGUGUUUGGCACGCGGUACAGUAGGAACGAGGCUGUCGGUCUCAGAUGACGCUCUCAUCAUCAGCACACUGCUGCACAGAAUGACAAUAUCAGCGGUCACAUGCCCUUCCUCACGUGCCCUUCCUGUGAUGGUCUCCCCUGACCCCUGACCCCUGAUGGUCUCCACCUGUUCCCCAUGACCCUCAUGUGCUCAUAGUCUCGUCUCCCCUUUGGGCCACAGUGUUUCCUCCUUGUCCCGCAGCCCUUUGCCACAGCCAGAGUCUCUUUUCCCUGAGUAUUGCCAAACCACGUGAGUUGUUUCCUGUUUCCUAAUUGAAAGUGACUUUUCGUCUGUAAAGUUUCUAGUUUAGCUCCGUUUUGUUUUAUUGGUCAGCCGUUUUGCUGUCCUCCCUUUGGAGUGAUUCUGUGCUUAGAUUAGAUCGUCAUUAUCAGGAAGCUUUUCUUUCGCAAGUUAUCUUACCAGGCCCGAGGUAUUUAGUGAGUUUUUUCAUAGCCCAUUUAUUUGUCACCCCUCAAAGAGGAUCUGAAUUCAAUAAAGUAGGCUUUUACGUUCUAUCCUCUGCAUCUGAGUCCUCAUUUUAGUCCCGGCCUGACGGUGAUGGAAUGCAGGCGCCACUCGACUGGUCUCACAUCCAAUAGGAUGGACAAGUUGUCGUUUCAGCUCGCGUCAGUUCGUCCCUCCGCCACCCCAGGCUCCUCCAAUUGGCGUUGCGGCAACGCGGCUUCGACACCACCACCAGUGUCUGGACUCCAUGGGGGGAUUCUGCCUGCGCAGAUAUCAGCAGCUCUACCCCUGGUUUAUCCUACUUCAGGAUGGAGUCCAAUCGCCAAAAAAGACUUUGCACUAUUGCAAUAUUCUAUUGUAAUAAAUGAUUGUUCAACUCUAAAUA